rnacentral:rRNA from 1 species
AGAGUUUGAUCAUGGCUCAGAUUGAACGCUGGCGGAAUGCUUUACACAUGCAAGUCGAACGACGAACCUUAGCUUGCUAAGGGGAUUAGUGGCGGACGGGUGAGUAAUAUAUCGGAACGUGCCUUGUAAUGGGGGAUAACUAGUCGAAGGAUUAGCUAAUACCGCAUACGCCCUGAGGGGGAAAGUAGGGGAUCUUCGGACCUUACGUUAUAAGAGCGGCCGAUAUCUGAUUAGCUAGUUGGUGGGGUAAUGGCCUACCAAGGCGACGAUCAGUAGCUGGUCUGGGAGGACGACCAGCCACACUGGAACUGAGACACGGUCCAGACUCCUACGGGAGGCAGCAGUGGGGAAUUUUGGACAAUGGGCGAAAGCCUGAUCCAGCCAUUCCGCGUGAGUGAGGAAGGCCUUCGGGUUGUAAAGCUCUUUCGCAAGGGAAGAAAGCUCACAUUCUAAUAAAGUGUGAGGCUGACGGUACCUUGAUAAGAAGCACCGGCUAACUACGUGCCAGCAGCCGCGGUAAUACGUAGGGUGCGAGCGUUAAUCGGAAUUACUGGGCGUAAAGCGUGCGCAGGCGGUUUGGCGAGUCAGAUGUGAAAUCCCCGAGCUCAACUUGGGAACUGCGUUUGAAACUGCCAGACUAGAAUAUGUCAGAGGGGGGUAGAAUUCCACGUGUAGCAGUGAAAUGCGUAGAGAUGUGGAGGAAUACCAAUGGCGAAGGCAGCCCCCUGGGAUAAUAUUGACGCUCAUGCACGAAAGCGUGGGGAGCAAACAGGAUUAGAUACCCUGGUAGUCCACGCCCUAAACGAUGUCUACUAGUUGUUGGUGGAGUAAAAUCCAUGAGUAACGCAGCUAACGCGUGAAGUAGACCGCCUGGGGAGUACGGUCGCAAGAUUAAAACUCAAAUGAAUUGACGG